AUAGGUAAAGUUUUUAAGUACCUGACAUGUUUCCACUGUCAUCUGCGUUCUUGUUCAGAGUUGUCAUCUGAAUGCUCCCUCAUCUCAAUUCAUGGUCCGGUCCGCCCGCUUCCUGAUCUCGAUGUCCUGACAGUUUGUGGUGGACUGUGGGGUGUUUGGAGGUCCAGAGCAGGCACUGGUCGGUAUGUGUGGGUUUCCUGUGUAUUGUUACUUUGAUGCUGCUGUCAUCUUUGUGGUUACUUUGCCAACUUUUGACCAUGAAUCGGGAUGAGGGAGCGUCCAUGCUCUACCACACAUGGGACUCUCUCCUCCAGAGCCCAUCAGGUGGCAGGGGGCAUGGCCGACCUGGUGGAUCUAUCGACCACGCCUACAGGAGGAGCACCUUUUUAAAAGUACACGUCACCUUCACCAGAUGACGCCUCUAAAGAAGACUGCAGGUGACACUUAAAACAUGUCAGAUAUUUAAAAAUCUUAACUGUCCCUUUUGUCUUACCAAAAGAAUCAAACACCAUCGCUUUGUUUGGAGCUUUCAGAUGUUCAGAUUUUUGUUAUUCAAGAUUUCCAGAAAGCAAUAACUCAGAGGGAGUUGGAUUUCAGACAUAACGUCACUUUGGAGCUUUCAAAUGGAUUUUUCAGGAAACGAUAAACUCACUUUUUCACUUUGUUUGGCUUUCAGAUGGUGGCGUGCCAACCCAGAUCUGUGAUUUAUUAUUUGUUUAUAAGUAUAUGAAUCAAUAAACAACACGAGACAAAAUCAAAAUUCUGAUUUAAUUUUACAUUUUCACAAUUUCACAUACAUUGAAUCACUGUCAUAUUGGUUCCUGUAACGCUGCUUUAUUUUGAAUGGGCAAAGGUUAUCAUACAUUUUCAAUUUCAGCGGGCAUUUUCAAGGACUGUUUGCAUUCAAGUUUCAGAGAUUUUAACUAUACUGCAUAUAUUUAGAUUCAAGUUUGCAUCUUUACCCGCUGCUGCUGCCGGCCAGUUGUUUGAUAUCACUUUCAGGUUUAGGUGAGUUGGUGAACGUUUGCCUGCAACUUGUGAAAUUGAAUUGGUUUGUUAUCUUUUAGUAGUUGGCCAUUUUGUUGCCAGAUGCAAGAAAAAUAAAAAUGUUGCUCCUUGUUGAGUAUUUUAUGUCACAUAGGGUAGUGUGAAAUUAUGUCUGCAUGCCUUUUAUUAGUUCAUCGCUCAUUGUUUCAACAAACGGAAAUUAAAAAAAAUAUUGAGAACUUCAGAGCAGUUAAAACAAUGAUUCCAUCUUCUAUAUGGCAACAGAAAUUGGACAUACCACAGAUGGGUUGUUUUUCUUGUGCACUAUGUAUUUGCAAACACUAACACAGUCAUCAGGGGAACUCACUGGGUUUGCAUACCUGCAAUCACAUGAUAGAUAUGUAAUUAAUAGUUUAAUUUGCCCCCAGCAUACAUACUUAGAGCAUGAAGGGUGGGUGAUUAAGGCCAUGUCUUGCUAAGAUUUAGAUGAGAAUAUACCACUGUCAAGUCUGUUGAGAGUCCUAGGAUCCAGUUAGCUUAGUUUACACUGCACCUGGCUGCACCGGGAGUGCUUGGCACUUAGCAACACUUAGCGAUGGCCUUCAGAACAUGGUCAUGCCCCCACCUAUACCUUCUCUCUCCCAGUGCCCCAGAUCCUAUUUGCUAUUAUUCAUUUAGUGAUUUUGAUGUGGGAUUUGUUUUAAAGAUCCGGUUCUUAAUUUAUGUUUUUGUUGUUAAGAUGGAGCAUAAUUUCA